rnacentral:rRNA from 1 species
AUGAAGUUAGCUCGCGCGGCGUCGCCGGACGCUGUCUGCGAGCGCGCCGGCUCAAACGAAAGGGAUAAGACUGCCGCCGAAAAAGGGUGCUCUAGGAAGAGAGGCCACACAGCAACGUCAGACAUCGUACACGAGGGCGACGGCUCGAACAAAAUUGAUGAGACGGCCACUGAAAAAGAGUGCUCAAGGAAGAGAGGCUGCGUAGCGUCAGCAGACAUCGUCCAUGAGGACGCCGGCUCCAAUGAAAGGGAUGAGACAACCAUCGAAAAAGGGUGCUCGAGGAAGAUAGGCCGCGUGACGUCGCCAGCCAUUGUCCACGAGGGUGGUGGCUCGAAUGAAAGGGAUGAGCCAACUGCCAAAAAAGUAAAUUCUGAAACUCAUUUGGAUAAGAAGACCAUCAAAGUCAUGACAUACAACGUAUGGUUUCGGGAGGAUUUGGAACUGACGAAAAGGAUGUAUGCUCUUGGAAAUCUUAUUCAGCACCACAACCCAGAUCUUAUAUGCUUCCAGGAGGUUACACCAAACAUAUAUAUGCUUCUCCAAAAAUCUGGCUGGUGGCAAGAAUACAAAUGCUCUCUGUCAGCUAGGAUGGCCAUGCAGAGGCAAUAUUACUGCAUGCAGAUGAGCAAGUUGCCCGUGAGUUCAUUCGAAUGCAUGCCAUUUUCCAACUCAGUCAUGGAAAGGGAGCUGUGCAUGGCAGACAUCAACAUUGGAGGUGCGACCAAGUUGGUGUUGGCCACAAGCCACCUGGAGAGCCCCUGCGCGUGGAAUCAGAUGUACAGCAAGGAACGAGUAACUCAGGCGAAUGCAUCCAUGAGGAUAUUGGACAAGUUCCGCAACGUGAUAUUCUGCGGAGACAUGAACUGGGACGACAAAGGCGACGGGCCAUUCCCUCUCUCAGACGGCUGGGUCGAUGCCUGGGCUGAGCUGAAGCCAGGCGAGGACGGCUGGACGUACGACACGCGGGCUAACGGUAUGCUGGCAGGCAACCGCAAGCUGCAGAAGAGGCUGGACCGGUUUGUGUGCAAGCUGCCGGAUUUCGAGAUCAACACCAUUGAGAUGAUCGGGAAGGAGGCGAUACCUGGGAUAUCACACUACAAGGAGAAGACUGUCCGCAAGGUAGUCCAGAACAUUGAGUAUCCUGUGUUGCCUAGUGACCACUUCGGGCUUGUUCUGAGCAUCACCUACGCAUCAUAG